GCUGGGUGUGGUGGCGGGCACCUGUAAUCCCAGCUACUCGGGAGGCUGAGGCAGGAGAAUCGCUUGAACCUGGGAGGCAGAGGUUGCAGUGAGCCGAGAUCGUGCCACUGCACUCCAGCCUGGGCAACAGAGCGAGACUCUGUCUCAA
rnacentral:sRNA from 1 species